CUAAUCCACGGUGUACCACAGA
rnacentral:siRNA from 1 species